rnacentral:lncRNA from 1 species
UUUGCUGAUCUCUGAAUUAUCUUUUUGGUCAGACACUUCAAUUGGUAGAGUUUCUUCUGACUUCUUCAUUUUUGUAGAGAGCAUUGAGUCCAACUCGACCAAGAAUGGCAAAUUGUAGGCUAAUGAUAUUUUGACAAGCAAAAAAAUGAGUCGUACAAUUGACGAUUGUGGUUCUCUUCUUACGGUGACAGGUAGAGUGAUUUCUCCCUCCACAACUAUAGGAUCUCCAAAGAAUCCAACCAGAGAGUGC